rnacentral:rRNA from 1 species
AUUGAACGCUGGCGGCAUGCCUUACACAUGCAAGUCGAACGGUAACAGGUCUUCGGAUGCUGACGAGUGGCGAACGGGUGAGUAAUGCAUCGGAACGUGCCCAGUUGUGGGGGAUAACUGCUCGAAAGAGCAGCUAAUACCGCAUACGACCUGAGGGAGAAAGCGGGGGAUCGCAAGACCUCGCGCAAUUGGAGCGGCCGAUGUCAGAUUAGGUAGUGGGUGGGGUAAAGGCCUACCAAGCCGACGAUCUGUAGUUGGUCUGAGAGGACGACCAGCCACACUGGGACUGAGACACGGCCCAGACUCCUACGGGAGGCAGCAGUGGGGAAUUUUGGACAAUGGGCGCAAGCCUGAUCCAGCAAUGCCGCGUGCAGGAAGAAGGCCUUCGGGUUGUAAACUGCUUUUGUCGGGGAAGAAAUCCUCUGGGUUAAUACCCCGGGGGGAUGACGGUACCUGAAGAAUAAGCACCGGCUAACUACGUGCCAGCAGCCGCGGUAAUAC